UUGAACUGAAGAGUUUGAUCCUGGCUCAGAUUGAACGCUGGCGGCAUGCCUUACACAUGCAAGUCGAACGGCAGCACGGGGGCAACCCUGGUGGCGAGUGGCGAACGGGUGAGUAAUACAUCGGAACGUGUCCUGUAGUGGGGGAUAGCCCGGCGAAAGCCGGAUUAAUACCGCAUACGCUCUACGGAGGAAAGGGGGGGAUCUUAGGACCUCUCGCUACAGGGGCG
rnacentral:rRNA from 1 species